CUAGAUUGUUGUGUUGUUCAAAUGUUUAUCUACAGUCAAACAAUUUUGAUUCUGUCUUUGAAAUUGUUUUGUUUACAUUUUAUAACACAUCUUUGUAAGUAGUAUGAUAUUUUUCAUUGAACUUGUUUGGACUUAUUUGUUUCAAGUGCUACUAUAAAGACUAGACAGGUACUUUCUAGUGUUACUUGGAACUGUUUAUUGUAAAGAUUAAAUACAUAUGUGUGAUGGUU